UUGUCAGGUAGGAUAAUCCUUACCUGUUCCUCUCAUCAGAGGGCAAAUAGAACAUGAUGAUUGGAGUUCGCAUGAUACGUGCUGAACAUUUCUGUGUGAUUAGGACUCACAACACCCUAAUCACUCCUAUCUGAU
ensembl:snoRNA U8 U8 small nucleolar RNA